ACCUCCCCCUGGAAGGGGGUGAGUGAGGACUAAGGGGCACUUCCAGAGGGGAGUGCCUUGAAGAGGAUGCUGCAAGAAGGGAGCAAUGUGGGUCCAGGCGCCAAUGGAGGGUGAGAGACAGAUGGGAUACCACCAGUGGAAGGCGCGCCACACUGGACUGAGCUAAUUCCCUGACGAGCCAGCAGGAGGUGCUGCGGUGCUUUUCAGCCCAGCCAACCCCUGCGGCCCUGAGAUGUCCAUCAGGCGUAAGAAGCUGACAGCACAUGGCCCUCAUUUUGCUUGGCAGCUGCUUCCACAGAACUCCACCUCCCGUUUCCCGGCCCUCCAUGGAGCAUGAAGAGUAAAAGAGCUGGAUGUUCUCAUCUCUUGUGCAAGGAGAGAAAUCUUGUGUUAAAUGUGAAAUGCCCGAGAAUCACCUUUAAAAAUAACAGGGUCGGUCGA